rnacentral:lncRNA from 10 species
GCCAUGCUGUGAGAAACCUGAGCCACAUGAAUAAACCCUAGAGAAUAAGAUCCUUUGUGGAGAAGGAUGGGGAGGAGAGAGAGAGAGAGAGAAAAUGCAUCAGGAAAUUUUGAAGUUUUGAAGCUCCCAGUAUAUAAUAAAGAGACGUUUUGAAAAUGAAUUUGCCAGAUCCAGCCAUUCCAACUAAUGUGGAUCAGAGACCAACCACUCAGCCAACCUCAUUCAGAAUUCCCGACUCACCAAAUUCAAAGCAACUUUGCAGAUGCGACUAAAACAAGGACCUUGAGAUGUGGAGAUUAUCCUGAUGGGACAGAUGUAGUCACAGGGAUCUUCUUAACAGAAAGCAGAAGAAUCAUGCCAGAGAAGGAGACGUGAUGUCCGAAGCACGUGUCAGAGACUAAGACACUGGAAGACGCUACACUGCUGACUUUGAAGGUAAAGUAAGG